GAUGAAGAACGUAGCGAAAUGCGAUAAGUAAUGUGAAUUGCAGAAUUCAGUGAAUCAUCGAAUCUUUGAACGCACCUUGCGCCCUUUGGCUAUUCCGAAGGGCAUGCCUGUUUGAGUAUCAUGAACACCUCAACUCUCAUGGUUUGCCAUGAUGAGCUUGGACUUUGGGGGUCUUGCCGGCCUAUGGGUCGGCUCCUCUCAAAUUAAUCAGCUUACCAGUGUUUGGUGGCAUCACAGGUGUGAUAACUAUCUACGCUUGUGGUUUUCCAUCAGGUAACCUUCAGUGAUGGAGGUUCGCUGGGGCUCAUAAAUGUCUCUCCUCAGUGAGGACAGCUUUUUUGAACGUUUGAUCUCAAAUCAGGUAGGACUACCCGCUGAACUUAAGCAUAUCAAUAAGCGGAGGA
rnacentral:misc_RNA from 1 species